GUGCUCUACAAAUUAACACAUUUAAGCCUAAUCCUAGGGGCUAAGUGCUACUUCAUCAUUCCCAUUUUACAGAUGCUGAAACUGAGAGGUCAAGUAACUCGCACAUGUGGAAGAGCUGGGAUGUGAAUCCCGACAGUCUAAUUCCAGAGUCUGUGCUGUUAACCUGCGGCCUCCAAGUGUGACCAAGUGUUGGCCAGUGGGAUGUGAGAGGAAAUGAUGUGGUCAACCUCUCCACAACCUCUCCUGGUCCUGAAAAAGGAAUCCCGUCGCCUUCCUCUUUCCCUCAUGCAGAUGUCAUAUUUGAAGGUUUAUGGGAAUAUUCCAUCCCAGUACCAAGAUGAAUCUCCUUGAUCAGAUCCAAACAUUUCCUCCAAAGAGCCCCAAGAUUACUGUCUAACCUGAUGUCUGCUGCCAUACCGUUAUCAAGGGGAUUUCACUCCAGCUGUAUAUUUAAUUCUGAGUACUUAGAAAAUUUCCGCGGAAGGCAGACGAGAAAGCGGUUGUAGCUAGAGAUAAGCAGUACUUACUCUCAAGCAUCUAGAGAUGACUGUGGUCUCAGCCCCACCCUAAAGGAAUUCCAGAGCAAAGGACUCAUCAUAAUGGCCUUCCUCCACCCCUGCAUAAAUCAGCAUCCUCUACCCAUCCCUAUGACAUCUCCUUCCCCCUUCCUGGUUUUAUUUCCUCAGUAACAGUCACCACCACCUAACACAGGUUCAUUUCUUUAUUUCUUUGUAGCCCAUUACAUCUACAUUAUAAUCUCAUUGAGGGAGCAGCUAUGUCUGCUUCGGUCCUUGUUUUUACCCCAGCUUCUAACAGAGCCUGACACGCAGAAGGUACUCAUUAAAGUGUUUUGUUGGUUUUUCUGUUUGUUUGUUUGUUGUAUUUUUAGUGCUGCACCUGUGGCAUAUGAAGGUUUCCAGGCUAGGGGUUGAAUCAGAGCUAUAGCUGCCAGCCUACACCAUAACCACAGCAACACGGAAUAUGAGCCAGGUCUGUGACCUACACCACAGCUCAGGGCAGCACUGGAUCCUUAACCCACUGAGCAAGACCAGGGAUCAAACAUGCAUCUUCAUGGAUGCUACUCAGAUUCAUUUCUGC
rnacentral:lncRNA from 1 species